UACUUCUUCGGACAAUAUACAAGGUGCUGCAUGGUUGUCGUCAGCUCGUGCCGUGAGGUGUCGGGUUAAGUCCCAUAACGAGCGCAACCCCUAUCAUUAGUUGCCAUCAGGUCAAGCUGGGGACUCUAAUGAAACUGCCUACGCAAGUAGUGAGGAAGGUGGGGAUGACGUCAAAUCAGCACGGCCCUUACGUCCAGGGCUACACACGUGCUACAAUGGCCGGUACAAAGGGCAGCUACCUGGUGACAGGAUGCUAAUCUCAAAAAGCCGGUCUCAGUUCGGAUCGGAGUCUGCAACCCGACUCCGUGAAGUUGGAUUCGCUAGUAAUCGCGCAUCAGCCAUGGCGCGGUGAAUACGUUCCCGGGCCUU
rnacentral:rRNA from 1 species